GUAAAAUCCUCUAAGCGGGGAGGAAGGCGGGGAGGUUAAUCACGUGAUCGAUUGCCGUUACCCGCAGAAGAAGUUCCGGCUAACUCUCAGUCAGCAUCCGGGGUAAUACGGAGGGCGCAAGCGUUCAUCGGAAUUUCUGGGCGUAAAGCGCACGCACGCGGUCUGUCAAGUCGGAUGUGAAAUCUCCGGGCUCACCGUGGGAAAUGCAUUCGAAAGUGGCAGGCUAGAGUCUUGUAGAGGGGGGUAGAAUUCCAGGUGUAGCGGUGAAAUGCGUAGAGAUCUGGAGGAAUACCGGUGGCGAAGGCGGCCCCCUGGACAAAGACUGACGCUCAGGUGCGAAAGCGUGGGGAGCAAACAGGAUUAGAUACCCUGGUAGUCCACGCCGUAAACGAUGUCGACUUGGAGGUUGUGCCCUUGAGGCGUGGCUUCCGGAGCUAACGCGUUAAGUCGACCGCCUGG
rnacentral:rRNA from 1 species